ensembl:lncRNA
GGAUCUGAAAAAAGUGACAAACCUGUGGGUAGGUUUGGAAAAUAGUAAUUUUUUGAUGGUCUAGUGUCAUGUCGAAGUUCGCUUUCAUUUCUCAGGACGGACUGGCGAUACGCUGCACAUACAGACACAACCUUCGAUCCACUAGCACCUUCGGACUCUGCAUAUGAAGUUGAGGCAACUGGCCCUGUUUCAGGAUGAACAAGACCUGCAACUAGAACAAUGAUGAAUGAUGAAUUAGAGAUCACUAAUGGCAUUUUCCCCACUAGGAAUACAGUCUGUGAAAAGGGCUAUUCGGACGGGAACAGAUUUAUAAGGGAUAAUCCCGUGCGAACUGGUCAUGCCGGAUAUUUUUCCGGACUGCGCUUUCCCAUGCCCGUGAAGAUUACAGCAUCUUUUACAUUUUAUAAAACGGCCUUUAAAAAUAACCCCAGGUUAAACUAAUCACGUGCGAAUGCGCACUCUAUUUUUUUAGGUAGUCGAUUCAUUCUCGGCAUUUAAGUCCUGUCGCCAAACGGCACUUUGACAGAGGGACCUUUAUCGCAAACUUUUUCGAAAAAUCUCCUCCCAAACAGAAUGAUUACAUAUCAUUUGUUCAAACAGCGUUUCAUAAUGUCGUUCUCCCCAAACUGAAACUAAACAAAGUUUCAGCUCUCGUCCAAAUGCGUCGUUUCUUUUGCUUCAUCAGUGCCGUGAUGCUGUAUUACCAAAUACUGAGGUGCAGCACCAUGUUACGCAUGACACACGGGGCUGAUGUGAUGGGCAGGCAGCAUAAACGAUGAAGCCACACCCAUCUCUGCAAUUUCUACAGAAAUCUCUCAUGCCAUGCGAAUUGACAAUAAAUAUCACAGGUGUCCAUAGUAGCAAUUACUUUGCAGCCAUAUGUCUGGAAAACUAAUCCCCUCCAAAUAGGGCUAAAGAAAGCAUGUCUGUCUAUGCCACAAAGCAUAAUUUAAAUGGUAAAUAUAACAAUUCUUAGUAUAGUUAUAUUAGCACAAUAUCAAGUUUAAGUGGCUUUAUUGCCAUUUCAACCAUAUACAGUUGGUACAGAACAGUGCUACAUAAACAACACAGAGCUACAGGACACUACACAGAACUAAAUGUGUGCGCGCGCAUGCGUGCAUGGGUGUCUGGGUCAGUGUCAGUCUCUAGGUAUUGAGGAGUCUGACUGCUUGGGGGAAGAAACUGUUACACAAUUUGGCCGUGAGGGUCCAAAUGUUUCGGUACCUUUUGCCUCAUGGCAGGAAGGAGAAGAGUUUGUGUGAGGGGUGUGGGGUCAGUUCUUUAGCCACGGCACCUCCUCUCUGUAUGCUGACUUGUCACUGCUCAUGAGACCCACCACAGCACAGUCUGUUGAGAGCUUGGGACGACAUGCGAACUGCGGGGGCUCCAGUGAGGGGGUAGCAGGGUCUUGAUGUGCCACAUGACAAGCCACUCCAAGCACUUCAUGACGAUGAAUGCAAGGAUAGCUGUUAAGGUAGGACGCUGAAGACUUCAACACGGGGGGGCGAUGAUGGAGGCCUUGAAGCACAUUGGAAUGACAGCGCUGCUCAGGGAAAUGUUGAAGAGGUCAGUGAGAACAUCUACCAUCCAGCGGGUCUGAACAUCCCCUGAGCAUUCUGCCAGGAAUGUUGUAUAAACCAGCAGCCUUCUGUGGAUUGACUCUUCACGGUCAUCCACGACUUCUGGUUGGAGCGUGUGGUGAUGGUCUUGGAGACAGUGACGUCAUCGAUGCACCUGCUGAUGUAGCGGAUACAGCUUGUGUAUUCCACCAAGCUGGUGGAGCUGCCAUCAGUUGCUACCUCCCUGAACAUGUGUCAGUCAGUGUGCUCAAAACAGUCCGGAAGAGCAGAGAUGUCUCUUGCUGUCCAGGUUUUCAUCUGCUUCAGAACCAGUCUGGAGCGUCUAACGAGCGGUCUGUAUGCUGGGAUUAACAUAACAGAGAGGUGGUCUGAGUACCCGGGAGGGGGCGGGGCUCUGCCAGGUUUGUGUAAACAAAAUCCAGCGAGUUCGCGCUUCUCAUCGCAAAGUCCACAUCCUGAUGGAAGUCAGGGAGCGCUGAUUUGGAAUUUCACAUGACUGAAAUGUCCGGCGACAAUAAACAGUCCGUCAGGGUUUGUGUUCCGCAGUAAUAGCCCCCGACAGUUCACAAAGCGCCUCCUUAACAUUAGCGCUGGGGGGAAUGCACACUCCGACUAAACUUCACCAGCGAGGAGCAGUAACUAGAAACUAGCACUGAGUUCUUGCACCAUUCGGGGUUGAUGUAAACACACAAGCCACCAUCGCGAGCCUUACCGCACAAAGUUGCAUUGCUGUCGUCAUGAAACGAGGGGAGCCCGUUUAGCUUUAGCCUAACACGGACCCCCGCCCUCUUGCCACGCUUCUGCUUCCUCGCACAGCGCUUACGACGCCCUCUCCCCCGGACACCGGCAUCACAAGACCCCGAAGACUGGAGGCUUGGUUCCCGCAACAAGCCGAGCUCACGUAACUUCUCCAGCAGACCAUCAUGCAAUCUGGUCAUCGGAUGAUAUCUAUAGUUUAGCAGAAACUGGCGAUGGUAAACACGGACCAUGGUUGCCCCGAUAUCCAUGUGCCGUAUAAUACAAAGGAUUUGAAAUAUUAGAUCCGGUUUAGUAUACUACAGUUCCGGUUCACCGCGAGAUGUCUCCACUGGUGAGAGCUCGGCUUUUUUUUAAAUUCUUUUAUUUCUAGUAGUGCGUCCCAAAUCAACGGUUGCAGGUUUCCUUACGUAACGGAUGGGGAGGGGCUAUAUCAGGCUCAGAUACUGACAUUACCAGCAGCCAUAACCACAACCAAUUAUGUUGAUUUUAAAUUGGAGAAGAUAAGAUGAGAGAAACUUUAUUGAUCCCACACGGGGGAAAUUCCCUCGUUAGAGCAGCUCAAUUAAACACAACAGAUAAGAACACAACAAUUAAACACAACAGAUAUGAACACCUCAUUUUAUGUGCAAAAUUCGCCUGUGAAGACGACUCCGCCUGACUGUGACUGAGGUCUUGUUGGGCAUAAAAGGAAAACAUUAAUAUCAACAGUAAAAUGUAGCAAUUCAUUUUUUUUUAUCCGUUUGGCUAUUUCGCUAGUGCUAGCGGCAUUACAUGCGUUUGACAUAAUAGAGUGGUGCAGGGAUGACGUCAUUGUGUAACGCCAAAACGAGUUAGCAUUUGAACCUUUCCGCUUCCAUCGUCCAGAUGUCAAGGGGUUUUUCGCAUGGGAUUUUGGUUAAAAACCUGAAAUAAGGUCUGUGGUGAACACAAGCUCAAAAUAUUUUCACGUUUUAUUCUACCACAUAAAAUCCACGGGUAAUACCCCACUCAUGAUUUUUUAAAUGCUUUUACGUGUAUUGAAAAAGGCGGUUGAUAAGAUGCUAAAUGGAACUACAGACCCAUUCGGGGGCAUUAAACGUCAUCCCGGUGAACAGGAAAAUAUACUCACUAGUCUGCGUUUACAGCCUCGUGUUCUUGCAGUUAUUGGAUUUGUCAGUUUAUCAAUUUAUAGUAUUUUCAGAAUUGUAGUACAAUAAAUUCUAGAUUAACUAAUUAAUAAUUUUGUCCAGUUUCUAGUGUAGUUAGACAAUGGUUGAAUUUUUUUAAUCUACUUGUGCUAUUAUACUGCUGGUUCUCACAUUCAGGGUGUGGAUGACCAGGUGAAAAAUAGCGAAAACAAGGGGGGGGGGGAGCGACAAUGUAGGGGAAAAUAAACAACUAUUUGCUGAUGCUAACUUCAGGGUUCCGGUACAAUAUGACAUCAUCCCUGCAGCUAUUUGCCCUCGACCAAGAAACAGCACAUAUUUCUGGUUAGUACAAUACUGAAAGUGUGCCAUUUGAGAUGAUAUUACCCUUCUAAAAUUCAUACACUAGAUGGCAGAGUGUAUAGUGCAUAGUAUAAGUAUAUAGUAUGUCAUUUGGGACACAGUAAGUUUCUUUUUUGUAAAUGUCUCUUCCUUGAUCAUACAGUAUGAUCGCCAAACACUACUAGACAUCAGAUCAUCACUCAAAAUGGACUUUGAGAGUGAUUUGCAUGCAAAUAGGAGCAAAGACCUGGCUGCAGCCUGCAGAAAGGGGUGGGGUGGGGCUGCAUGUGUCACUCCACCCAUAAGAGUUAGGGGUUAUGGUUAGAAUGGGGAGCCCCACUCCGUUCUACAGGCUGGAGCCAGGACCUUCUCGAUUUUCCUGAAUGCAGCAGACAUUAAUGAAUACAAAAACUCUGUCACCAAUUACACACCAGUAUGUGCACUGAAAAGAUUGUUCCAAAAGUCUGUAUCAAAUCAUUCCUGAACCAGAAACUCCGGGUUAAUGCUGAUUUCUGGGCCAAACUUAGAGGUCAAACCUCAGCCUACAACUCAGGGACCUGUUGUCAUACAGGAAAGCCGGAUACAACCGACAGAGGAUCAUCAGGACUGCAAAGAAUGGCUACAGAGACAAGAUUGUGUUGAACUAUCAAAGAUCAGACCUCAAGCACAUGUAGAAUGGUUUGUGCUCCAUUACAGACUACAAAGGUUGGAAAAUCUGCAAUGGGGACUAUCUGCCUCACUACCUGAUGAGCAGAACACCUUCUAUGCUCAGUUUAAGGCCAGCAACACCUUCCAUGCAGAAAAACUCCCGGUGAACUGCAACAGCUGCGCACUAACCAUCACUGUGCCUUAUGUGAUCAGAUCUUUCAAGACGGCCAAUACAAGCAAAGCACCAAAUCUGGUGUCCUCAAAUCAUGUGCCAGCCACCUGCGGAGACUCAGGAAGUUUAAUUUCUCCGAAAAUCCUGACCAUUUUCUACAAAUACCCCAUAGAGAGCAUCCUGACUGGGUGCAUGAAUGUUUGGUUUGGCAGCUGCCCCCUGCGUGAAUGCAAGGCCCUCCGAAGAGUGGUGAGAGCAGCUGAACUCAUUAUUGGCAACAGACUCCCAGCCUUACAAGACAUCUUCCAUACAUGAUGUCUGAGGAAAGCACACUAAAUCACCACAGACCGCAAUCACCCAGCACACAGACUGUUUAACGGACUGAAAUCAGGCAGAUGGUACUGCAACAUUCAAUCCACAACUAGCAGGCUGAAGAACAGUUUCUACCUGCAGGCCAUCAGCUACUUCACCACAGAAACAAAAUCCUGCACACACAGGGCGAGGAGAAGAGGACAACAUAGAUGGAGACAAACUAAGUGAAGAGAGAGAGAGAAUGUAUGUAUGUGUCCUACCAUUUGGAGGUUCUUCAUGUUCCAUGUGAUGAGUAAGGUUGACAGGAGUUGGAAGGGUAGAUGAAUAUGGAGGAGCAACAUCGGUUAGGUCCUGGCAGUCUGAUGCAGGUUGAGGUGAUAUGGGUUCGCACACAGGAGGUGCAGGAUAUGAAUAUGGAGGAGCAACAUCGGUUAUGUCCUGGCAGUCUGAUGCAGAUGGAGGUGAUAUGGGUUCAUACAGGGGAUGUGGUACAAACAAAUACUGAAUUUGACUUACAGGUUGAGAGGAUAGAGGAGGUGGAAUAUGGACAGGAGAUGGUGAAGAAUGGAGUGGUGGUGGAGGAGAAAUGUGGCUGGAGUGGUGGGAGGGAGCAUGAAGCUCUUUUGAGGAUGACAUAGGAGAAGUUGUAGAAAAGGGGGAUGAAUGAGGAAUGAAUGAGACAGGAACUGAGACAGGACAGCAUGAAAUCAGAGGAGGGGUGUGGCACGAGUAGGCUGUAUUUAGAGGAUUAGGAGUUUCAUCUAGAAAAAAACCCACAAAAAUAGGGAACAAUUAAGAUGCUGUUAACUCCUUCCAAGUUUAAAAAAAAAAAAAAAAAAAAGUCUCUUUUCGGUAUGUUCACAAUGGCUAGUCCUGGAAUGAUCUUACCUGGAACUAAACGAUUCUCCAGCAGGGGGGAUUUCUCCUGCUGCAAAGAGUUGGUAAUUGCAGCAGGACAUAUGUGAUCCCCAGAACUGAUGCAUGUACCUAAAAGACAACAGAAUACAAUCCUUAAUUACACUACAACAGAGCUUCAACAGGAGCUUCACACUAACAACAGCAAGUAAAGUUAAAUGAUAACAUCCUAGUGGUAACGGAAUACUUUAUGGACAACUCCAUAGUAUUGAGAAGUUGUUGAGCUAGAGAACACAUGAUAGGCAGUAGUGACCAACUGGUUGAGGUGUUGAGUUUCUCCAUAUUGUUGUAUUUUAAACUCAUAUCAGGCAGUGUGAUCAUCUGAAUUGUGUUUUAUUUCCCUCUGUUGUGGGUUAAAGUAUAAUAUACCACAAUGGAGUUAAUAGAGAAUUGUCUUUACAAAGCUUUAAUAUGCAACCACCCUAACAGAAAACGAGGACAUUGGCACACACAAACAGC